rnacentral:lncRNA from 1 species
AAAGAAAUAGCCAUUUCAAAAAAUGCAAGAUCUCGACUGGAAAUUCUAAACGACUUUGCUUUUUCCUCCUUUGGUGUUGCUCUUCAGCAGGCGCUGCUUCAGCCGAUUCUUCUUCAGUCAACACCAUCGAUACCCUCGUCAGAAGCUUUUAUCAACGGAGUUAUAAGUAAAAGAGACACAACCAUGCUAAAUACAACAAACAUCAAAAAGGAUUUUGGGUUGCAAUCAAAAAGCAUCCAAUAGAUUCUGAUAAUGACUAUCGCUCCACUUAGAAAAAGAAAUCUUUGAGGAAUUAAAGAAAUAAUUUACUUCAACAAAAUAAGGUAAUUUUGAAAAGAAUGUAUGUUAAUCCAUCUGAUGUGAUUAUUAAUAUUAUAAGGUUACCUUUUGAAUCUAUCAUCCUUGUAAAUGGAGAAACUACAGUGUCUCCUGAAAUUGAGAAAGCACCACCACCAUAUUCUUGAGUACUCAUUGAGAACUCAUUGCAGUGUUACAUCAAUGGCUUCUUCAUUUUUGUCAUUUCCCCUUUUAACUAUAACUAAUUGUUUGAAAGAAUGAACAAUACAACAGUUAGGUCUUCGGAAAAGAAAGUCAAUGAUUAAUUAACUCAUAGAAAUAUACAAUUACUCUUAUUCUGUAGGCAGACCAUGAUUCAGGCUACAAUAUUGACCGUGAGAGUUGACGGAUGUGCCUCCGAGGCCCUUGGAGGCUCCUGACACAACGCUUGAGGUGAUUGGAAAGGACUAUGAACUCUACAGUGUAGUUUUUUUUCUCCGAUGUAGGCAUUGAAGAAGCCACCAUUAUGGUCAUUAGUUUCUGAGAGUGAUGACAGUGUUUUUAGAUGAAGAGUAUAUAAAGGAUGGUAAUGAGGCUUCUUGAUAACGAUGAUGAUAGAAUUG